UACCAGCACCCCGAGUGGUCGGGACGAUUAUUGGGCCUAAAGCAUCCGUAGCCGGUCCUGCAAGUCUUCCGUUAAAUCCAGCUGCUCAACAGAUGGGCUGCGGAGGAUACUACAGGGCUAGGAGGCGGGAGAGGCAAGCGGUACUCAGUGGGUAGGGGUAAAAUCCGUUGAUCCAUUGAAGACCACCAGUGGCGAAGGCGGCUUGCCAGAAUGCGCUCGACGGUGAGGGAUGAAAGCUGGGGGAGCAAACCGG
rnacentral:rRNA from 1 species